UGGGGAAUAUUGGACAAUGGGCGAAAGCCUGAUCCAGCAAUGCCGCGUGAGUGAUGAAGGCCUUAGGGUUGUAAAGCUCUUUUACCCGGGAAGAUAAUGACUGUACCGGGAGAAUAAGCCCCGGCUAACUCCGUGCCAGCAGCCGCGGUAAUACGGAGGGGGCUAGCGUUGUUCGGAAUUACUGGGCGUAAAGCGCACGUAGGCGGCUUUGUAAGUUAGAGGUGAAAGCCUGGAGCUCAACUCCAGAAUUGCCUUUAAGACUGCAUCGCUUGAACGUCGGAGAGGUGAGUGGAAUUCCGAGUGUAGAGGUGAAAUUCGUAGAUAUUCGGAAGAACACCAGUGGCGAAGGCGGCUCACUGGACGACUGUUGACGCUGAGGUGCGAAAGCGUGGGGAGCAAACA
rnacentral:rRNA from 1 species